UACGUAGGCAGCAAGCGUUGUUCGGAGUUACUGGGCGUAAAGGGUGUGUAGGCGGUUUUCUAAGUCUGGUGUGAAAUCUCCCGGCUCAACUGGGAGGGUGCGCCGAAAACUGGAAGGCUAGAGUGCGGGAUGGGAGAGUGGAAUUCCUGGUGUAGCGGUGAAAUGCGUAGAUAUCAGGAGGAACACCUGUGGUGUAGACGGCUCUCUGGACCGCAACUGACGCUGAGACACGAAAGCUAGGGGAGCAAACAGG
rnacentral:rRNA from 1 species